rnacentral:rRNA from 1 species
CCUUGACCUACUAAAUAGCUCAGCUUGCGAUUGCAGGUUGCUAGCUUCUUAGAGGGACUAUCUAUUUCAAGUAGAUGGAAGUUUGAGGCAAUAACAGGUCUGUGAUGCCCUUAGACGUUCUGGGCCGCACGCGCGCUACACUGACGGAGCCAGCGAGUCUACCAAGCUUGAGAAGGCUAGGUAAUCUUGUGAAACUCCGUCGUGCUGGGGAUAGAGCAUUGCAAUUAUUGCUCUUCAACGAGGAAUUCCUAGUAAGCGCAAGUCAUCAGCUUGCGUUGAUUACGUCCCUGCCCUUUGUACACACCGCCCGUCGCUACUACCGAUUGAAUGGUUUAGUGAGACCUUGGGAGGGGUUGAGUUUGUGGGCAACCACGAGCGAGACGCCAAACUUGGUCAAACUUGGUCAUUUAGAGGAAGUAAAAGUCG